GCCCGGUUAGCUCAGCCGGUAAAGCACGGGACUUUUAAUCCUGAGGACGAGGGUUCAAGUCCCUUAUCGGGCG
rfam:Daphnia magna strain Xinb3 contig34301, whole genome shotgun sequence.